rnacentral:rRNA from 1 species
UACGAAGGGUGCAAGCGUUAAUCGGAAUUACUGGGCGUAAAGCGUGCGUAGGCGGUUUCUUAAGUCUGCUGUGAAAGCCCUGGGCUCAACCUGGGAAUGGCGGUGGAUACUGAGAAGCUGGAGUACGGUAGAGGAAGGUGGAAUUCCCGGUGUAGCGGUGAAAUGCGUAGAGAUCGGGAGGAACACCAGUGGCGAAGGCGGCUCACUGGACCGGAACUGACGCUGAGGCGCGAAAGCGUGGGGAGCAAACAGG